rnacentral:lncRNA from 1 species
CAGGAAUCCAAGGAUGAAAAUGGAAGAUGUGGCCUACUUCUGCAUCACGAGAUCAGAGAAUUACAGAUGUGACCCUCACUUACAGGAAGUUGAAUACCCAGUACAGUGAAGACAAACCUUCAGUAGUGAACGCUUCCCUUUGAUCGAUGGCCAGAGGUCAGGACUCUCCAGCAAUUCUGAUGAAUGUAUGUAACUUCUUGGUUCUUUCUCUAUUGUUUCAUCUUAAAUUCUGCAAAGGAGAUGAUGCAGAUGAGCAAUGCUGCAGUUCCUUCUCAUUUGCAUUUUACUAGCUUUAUGACAGUUUCCUUCUUGCAUGAUAUUACCUAAUUACAUCCUUCAAGGAAGCACUAACAUACCACUCUCCACUUUCAAUUACUCACUCCAACGAAGGAAAUCAUGAAACACCCAUCCCUUCUCAGAAAAUUCACCCAGCAACUGGGUCACUGUGGGACAAAGAUCGUGUGAAGGAGUGGAACUACAAUCUCAGUCAGGAGGUC